rnacentral:rRNA from 1 species
CCCCAGACUCCUACGGGAGGCAGCAGUGAGGAAUAUUGGUCAAUGGGCUUACGCCUGAACCAGCCAAGUCGCGUGAGGGAAGACUGCCCUAUGGGUUGUAAACCUCUUUUGCCAGGGAGCAAUUGGCGCUACGUGUAGCGUUAUCGAGAGUACCUGAAGAAAAAGCAUCGGCUAACUCCGUGCCAGCAGCCGCGGUAAUACGGAGGAUGCGAGCGUUAUCCGGAUUUAUUGGGUUUAAAGGGUGCGCAGGCGGAGAGUGAAGUGAGGGGUAAAAUUUGGGGGCAAACCCCCGACGAGCCGUUGAAACUGGCUUGCUAGAGUGGGCGAGAAGUAUGCGGAAUGCGUGGUGUAGCGGUGAAAUGCAUAGAUAUCACGCAGAACUCCGAUUGCGAAGGCAGCAUACCAGCGCCCAACUGACGCUCAGGCACGAAAGCGUGGGUAUCGAACAGGAUUAGAUACCCGUGUA